rfam:Neurospora crassa OR74A unplaced genomic scaffold supercont12.9, whole genome shotgun sequence.
UGACCUCGGAUUAGGUAGGAAUACCCGCUAAAUUUAAGUAUAUUAAUAAGCGGAGGAAAAGAAAUUAAUAGGGAUUGCCCUAGUAAUAGCGAAUAAAAUAGUAAUAAUUCAAAUUUAAAAUUUAGUUUUAGCCCGAAUUGUAAUUUAUAGAGGAAACUUUUAGUAAAACACCUUCUAAAUCCCCUAGAACAAAACACUAUAGAGGGUGAGAGCCCCGUAUAAUUGGAUGCUAAUCUAAUAUAAAAUUCCUUCAACGAAUCGAAUAAUUUAGAAAUACUAUUCAAAAUAGGAGGUAAAUUUCUUCUAAAGUUAAAUACCAAUUAAAGACCAAUAGUAUACAAAUAGAGUAAUUAAAAGAUGAAAAACAUUUUAAAAAGAGGGUUAAAUAGUAUAUAAAAUUAUUAAAAGGGAAAUAUUUAUAAUUAGAUUUAUAUUAUUCCGAUUAUUUAAUAUUUUUACCAGUAUAUUUAGGAUAGUUUAAACUAAUAUUAGUUUUAGCGGGGGGAUAAAGGUCUAGGGAAUAUAGCUCCUCUAGGAAUAUUAUAGCCCCGGGUAUAAUACCUUCGUUAGGACUAAAGUUCGUAUAUCUAUAAGGAUACUAAUAUAAUAAUUAUUAAUAAUUUGUUUUAAAAUAUAAACUAAGGAAUUAAAGUUUUAUAUAAAUAUUUAAAUAUAAAACCCGUACGUAUAAUAAAAGUAAAUAUAAGUAAGAAUUUUAGCGUAUUAUUGAUUAAUUUUAAUAUAUUUGAAUAGAUUUGAGUAAAAGCGUUAAACCUUAGACCCAAAAGAUAGUGAACUAUAUUUAGAUAGGGUGAAGUUAAAGGAAAUUUUAGUAGAGGUUCGUAGCGGUUCUAACGUAUAAAUCGAUUAUUAAAUUUAAAUAUAGGGGCGAAAAAUUAAUUGAACUAUUUAGUAGUUAGUUACUACCGAAGUUUCUUUUAGAAUAAUAGUAUUAUUCUUUAAUUUUAUAAAGUAAAGCGAAUAAUUAGGGAUUUGGGGGCGCUUUUUAACCUUCAUCCAUUCUUAAACUUUAAAUAUAUAAGAAGCCCUUAUUAUUUAAUUAAAUAUAGGUAUUCGAAUAUACUAAUACUAAUAAGCUAUUUUUGGUAAGUAAAAUUAGUAAUAUGGAAUAAACUGAACGUAGGAUUAAAGUACCGAAGUAGACGCUUAUUAAAUACUAUAAAAAGUAUUAAUAUAUUUUAAUAGUAGGAUAGUAAUUAUAGAAGUUGGAAUCCGCUAAAGACUAUAUAAUAAUUUACUUACUAAAUAUAUUAGCCCUAAAAAUAAAUAGUAUUUAAAUAUCCUACCUAUACCCCGCCCUUAAGGUAGAAACGAUACCUUAAAGAGUAGGCGGUUAUAGAGGUUAAUAAUAAAGCUUAGGGCGUAAACCCAGAUCGAACAGCCUCUAAUAUAAAUUUUAAUAAUAGUAAUAAAUAUUUUAAUAAGAAUUUGAAGGACCGAAGUAGGGAAAGGUUCUAUAUAAAUAACGGUUGGAUAUAAGUUAGUCGAUUUUAAACUAUAAGGAAAUUCCAUUUUAAAGGGGCACUUAUACCCUAUAUAGCAAAAAGGAAGCCGGUUAAUAUUCUAGUAUUUAAAUAUAGGUUUUACACGGCAACGCAACUAAAUACGGAGAUAACAGCGGGGGCCUUAAAUAGAAUUCUCUUUUCUUCUUAAUAAUUUAUUAUUUUAAAAAUAAUUUAUUUAGAAAUAGGGUUUAAUAGCUAGAAGAGCCCGACACUUCUAUUAAGUCCGAUACACUUUCAAUAUCCCUUAAAAAUCUAUAAGAAGGAAUAAUUCUUAUACUAGGUUAUAUUUAUAAUUAUAGUAGGUCUCUAAAGUAAAUAGCCUUUAGUUAAUAGAAUAAUAUAAAUAAGGGAAAUCGGUAAAAUAAAUCCGUAACUUCGGGAAAAGGAUUAACUUUAAAGGUUAGGUACGUUGGGUUUUAAAUAAACGCCUUAAAAAUAAAUCGCUACUAGCUAAAUAACUAGCCGGUAAUUUUUAGUAUUUGGGUAUAAAAGCCCUUAAUAAACUUCGGUCGUUUAAUAUACAUUUAAUAACCAAUUUAGAAUUAGUACAGAUAAGGGAAAUUUAAUUAUUUAAUUAAAAUAUAGUAUUACAAUGGCUAGAAAGUAAUAUUGACGUAAUAUAAUUUCUACCUAGUACUCUAAAUAUUAAAGUAAAGAAAUUCAACUAAGCGUAGGUAAAUAGCGGGAGUAACUAUAACUCUCUUAAAGUAGCUAAAUACUUCGUUAUUUAAUUAAUAAUAUAUAUAAAUAAAUUAACGAAAUUCCUACUAUCCCUAUCUACUAUCUAAUAAAACUAUAGCCAAAGGAACGGGCUUAAUAGAAUUAGCAGGGAAAAAAAACCCUAUUAAAUUUAAUUCUAAUUUAAUAUUAUAAAAAAAUAUAAAAGGUAUAAAAUAAGUAGGAGCUUCGGCGCUAAUAAAAUACUACUACUCUUAUUAUUUUUUUAUUUAUUUAAUUAAACGGGGCUAGAUUUUCGUCUAAUUUCUAAUUUUAAAGUCCUUUGUAGACUAACCCAGAUUAAAGAUAUUAUUAAGUAGGGAGUUUGGCUAGGGUAGUAUAUUUAUUAAACUAUAAUAUAAGUAUCUUAAGGGGGGUUUAUAGAGAAUAAAAAUCUCUAAUAGAAUAAAAGGGUAAAAGUCCCCUUAAUUUUAAUUUUUAAUAUAAAUACAAACUAUAAAAGUAUAGCCUAUCGAUCUUUUAGUCCCUCGAAAUUUGAGGUUAAAGGUACUAGAAAAGUUACUAUAGAGAUAAUUAAUUUAUAGCGGCUAAGCGUUUAUAGUAAUAUUGUUUUUUAAUCCUUUAAUAUCGGCUCUUCCUAUUAUACUAAAGUAGAAUUCGGUAAGUAUUAGAUUAUUUACCUACUAAUAGGGAAUAUAAGCUGGGUUUAAACUAUUAUAAGAUAGGUUAGUUUUACCUUAUUAAUAAUUUUAUUAUAAUAAUAAUUAAAUUUAGUACGAAAGGAACUGCUUAUUUAAAUAAUUAGUUUUUAUAAUUGUCCGACCGGGUAAUACUAUAACGCUACUAUCUAUUAAAUAAUAAUUAAACGCUUUUAAAUUAAAAUUUAUAUUAAAAUGCAAUAAUACCUCUAAUACGUUAUAAAUAUAUAAAAAUAAACUCCGGCCUUGUAUUUUAGUAAACGAUUCCUCUAUUAGCCUUAAAGUAGCUAACGGUAAUUUAUAUAUUGUAAUUUUAAUAUACAUUAGAUUAAAUCUUUUAUAAAUAAUUUAAAUAUACGAAAGGGUCCUAUAAGUAAUAAAAUAGCCUUAUUAUUAUAAUUUACUAAGGGUAAACCCUCCUUCGCUUAAAUUUCC